UGUAGAUAUGGCCAGAGCUUAUUCAAAAAGUUAAAGAGGGAGGGUUGGAUGUUAUUCAAACCUAUGUGUUUUGGAAUGGCCAUGAACCUUCUCCAGGAAAAUAUUAUUUCGAGGAUAGGUACAAACUUAGUUAAGUUCAUCAAGGAAGUGCAGCAAGCUGGACUUUAUGUUAAUCUCCGAAUUGGUCCCUACAUAUGUUCUGAAUGGAACUUUGGGGUAACUUUGCAGCCAUCUUGAAGGCAAUGCAUUCUUUUAGUGCUGAAUCAGAAAAGGAGUUGAGCUUUUCAAAGGUUUGACAUAUUUGCUGAAUUUGAAAUAGAAUUGUUGGGAUCAGAAGGGAUUGUGAAUAAGGAGGACUCUAAAUUUUGAAGGGUGUGGAGUUGGUGCGGUUGAGAGAAGGGCUUUU